GUGAUGUGUAUGAUGCUGAAAUGGAAAUGGGCGCCCACACCAUUUCGUCCUGAAUAUAUGUCACAUUGUGUUAUCGAUUCACAUCUAUACUCGAGCCUCUUCCAGAUCAUUGAUGCUUAGUAUAUUUUACUGUUUGUAUGGUCUUUCAUUACAACAAAUCUUUCAGCCGGUAUCACGAUACUAUUCCAUCCAUCGUUGUUCGGUAGCUGUAGAGGAAGAUAGACAAGAGGCGAAGAAAUAACUGGAUUCCUUUCAUUCUUCCUUCGACGUUGUCCAGACGCACGCGAGUUAUAAAUAACGUAACCAACUUGAUUAAUGAAAACGUAGAGCGAGAAGGCUCAUCGUCCCUGUGUGCGCAGGAUAUGGAAGCUUCGUCUCCCGAAACUAAUCAAUCCGCAACAAACUUGGUUGGCAUUCCUCCUUCUUGCCUUCAGAUGUUCUGUCGCCGUGCCUUUAUCCGCUUUUGAAUAAUCGACUUUCUCUCAAAAGCCUCGAGAGUAACUUCCACCGCAGUGCACUAACCAGAGUUAUCUACGAGGCCUUUUUCUCCAAGCCAAGAGAUUUUGCUGCCUUUUAUUUAGAGAGAAAAGUCGUUGGAUAAAGAGACAUAGAGAUAAAACUAUAUAUAUAUAUAUAGCUCUAUUGUGUAUGGAUUGGUUGUAUGGAUGCAGCAGUUCCGAUCUACAGUAGCUUGUGACGUAGUUCCAAAUGGAAAUCAGUUAAAAGCUUAGAGAUAAAGAGACUGGAUAUAUGUUGUCGCAAGACAUGUCGGAUAACAUCAAGAAGCACUCUAGACGUCUUCUUCUCUGUAAUUCUAUUGCUGGCCAACAACGUCGAGCUCACCAUCUAUGUUUUGUUGUCCGAAACAGAGCAGCAGAAAUUCGAUUUUCUCCAUCUAAAAAAAGAAAAGAAGCUUUAAAACUUGUUCAUCAACAAGUCAACACUUGGGGUAAUACUCGUUGUGGUUGUCCGUGGCUCCGAUCGAUAUCUAAUCCCAACUCGAACAAGGCAAAGGACGACAGCUUGAGUUUGACCGAGGCCAGCUGCUGGGCAAAUGUCCAGCACUUUACAGGUUGGAAAACUGAAAGAAAACAAAGGGUGAUAGAUGGCUGCACGAAAUCGCAUGAAAAGCAUUUCCGAAACUAAAAAAAAAAAAAAGUAUCAAGGAUAUAACUAUAACGUGUGUUUUUUGGCGUGCAGUGCUUUUUACGGCCUUCCGGCUCCCUUUGACAUUUCAUUCCACUGAUGUAUCAAGCAGGCGAUGGCGUGUAUACUACUAUAUAUACGUACCACCCUUGCACUCAUGGCUCGAUUAUUAUUCCACGCCAUGCACGACAAGUUUGUCUCGCCAUCUCAACCCAAUGUCGAAGUAACACAGCAAAAAUAAGAAAUAGCAGUGCACACGAUGUUGAGACUUCAUGUUUGGCCAACAUUUUGCAACAUUGAUGAUUGUUUUCAUCUAAAUUUCACGAUAGAAUGUCGUCACAUUCAGAUAUAAUAUGCCAUAUGUAAAUAAAUCGUAAAAAUCGAA